UUUUUUUUUUUUUUUAAUAUUAACUUCAUUUCUUUUUUUUAAUUAGGUAUUUUCUUCAUUUACAUUUCAAAUGCUAUUCCAAAAGUCCCCCAUACCCUCCCCCCCCCACUCCCCUAUCCACCCAUGCCCACUUCUUGGCCCUGGCAUCCCCCUGUACUGGGGCAUAUAAAGUUUGCAAGACCAAGGGGCCUCUCUUCCCAAUGAUGGCCGAUUAGACCAUCUUCUGCUACAUUUGCCGCUAGAGACACGAGUUCCGGGGGGUACUGGUUAGUUCAUAUUGUUGUUCCACCUAUAGGGUUGCAGAUCCCUUUAGCUCCUUGGGUACUUUAUCUAGCUCCUCCAUUGGGGGCCCUGUGUUCCAUCCAUCUUACACGCGUUCGCGACCGGCCAGGAAAGACGCAACAAACCGGAAUCUUCUGCGGCAAAAGCUUUAUUGCUUACAUCUUCAGGAGCAAGAGCUUUAUUGCUUACAUCUUCAGGAGCAAGAGUGCAAGAGAGCAAGAGCAAGAGCUCUAUUGCUUACAUCUUUAGGAGCCAGAGCGCAAUAGAGCAAGAGCAAGAGCUCUAUUGCUUACAUCUUUAGGAGCCAGAGCGCAAGAGAGCAAGAGAGAGAAUGGCGAAACCCUGUCCCUUUUAAGGAGAAUUAUCCUCCGCCUAGGACGUGUCACUCCCUGAUUGGCUGCAGCCCAUCGGCCGAGUUGUCGGCACGGGGAAGGCAGAGCACAUGGGGUGGAGAACUACCUUUGGCACAUGCGCAGAUUAUUUGUUUACCACUUAGAACACAGGAUGUCAGCGCCAUCUUGCAACGGCGAAUGUGAGGGCGGCUCCCCACACAUCCAAUAGCUGACUGUGAGCAUCCACUUCUGUGUUUGCCAGGCACCGGCAUAGUCUCACAAGAGACAGCUAUAUCUGGGUCCUUUAAGCAAAAUCUUGCUGGUGUAUGCAAGGCAACUCUAAAAAGGACAACAUUUAAUUGGGGCUGGCUUACAAGUUCAGAGCUUCAGUCCAUUAUCAUCAAGGCAGGCGCAUGGCAGCAUCCAGGCAGGCAUGGUGCAGGAGGAGCUGAGAGUUCUACAUCUUCAUCUGAAGGCCUCUAGGAGAAGACUGGCUUCCAGGCAGCUAGGAUGAGGGUCUUAAAGCCCAAGUUCAUGGCGACACACCUACUCCAACAAAGCCACACCUCCUAAUCGUGCCACUCCCUGGGCCAAGCAUAUUCUAACUACCAUAGGCUUCAACAUGCUAGCAAGUGUGUGCUCUUCCAUAUUCCCCUGGAGCACACAAUGGAUACAGAUGACUUCUGUGGGCUGUGGAGAGUCCCGCCUCAGUAAUGUUUCCAUUUACCUUCAGUAUGAUUUGCCUCUCAUCUCAGUGAUGGAUUCACACCGUAAAAAGUACUGAAUAGCAUUUUUCAGGAUAUUGAAUACCCCAGCUAACAUAAACAAUUGUGAUUUGAUGAAAAGCAAGUACCUGAGCUAGACAUGCAACCCGCCCCAGGCCACCCUGCCUUUCCCCUGCAGAUUUACCUUCCUAAUCAUACUUUUGCUUGGGUUAAUAUUAAAAUUAUUCUGCAUUCAUGAGAGCAGGGUAUUUCCUGUGUUAAGGGAGAUACACACUUAACAAACAUCAACUUCUCUGCAGAAGAAAAAAUGUUUAUAUUUCUCCCAGAAGAUUUUUUUUUUAAGUAUCAAGUGUACAGCUAAACAUAAAACAGAUAACCAGGAGCAUACUGCAGGUAAACGGGGCAUGGGAACAUAUACGGGCCGGCCUCCUUGACGUGGGUAUUUUGGUGUUGCAGUUUUGUUUUUGUUUUGUUUUGUUUUGUUUUCUUCACAUUGUGCUCCAUAACCAUGAAAAUGAAACAGCAUCAAAAAAACUGUGUCUGCUGUGUAAUCACUCUGUGCUACACGUGCAGUGUUAGGUGAAGAGUGUGGUCUGCUGACAGCUUGCACUGGCUCACAGUGAGCCCCGGAGAGGGAAGAGGUCUCCUGUCUUAAACCUGAGUGAGCCUGACAGUGUGACACUGCCCUGCUUCUGUUAUGCAGGAUAACAUAAAUCUCUCCAUGGGCAUCUGAGGUCUCGUUGAGGAGGUGUUGGGAGCAAGGGUGCACACACAGUGUUACUCCUCCGAUCAGAAAUGUCAUCAAUAGACUUCCGAAGACUCACAGGAGGUACUUGAGUGGUUUUGGUUCAUCUUUGGGAAAAUGUUGAAGGAGAUUCCUCCAGAAGAAAUGAGGUAUCUGAAAUAAAAUUUUCACCUGUUGGUAACAAGUGCUUUUGUGUGUGUGUGUGCAUUUAAUCAUGUCCUGUGUUUAAUUUUAGCUUCACUAUUUAAAAGGGAUGCCAAUUUUUCUUUUAAAAAUUACUAAUAAAAUUAUUUCUUAUUUUCUGGUUACCUUUUAAAUAUAUUUUAAAUUUAUGGAGUGCAGUGUGACAUUUCAGUGUGAUAAUCAGAUCAGAGGGACAGAUGUGUCUUAGUUAGGGUUUUACUGCUGUGAAGAGACACCAUGACCAAGACAACUCUUAUAAAGAACAACAUUUAAUUGGGGCUGGCUUAUAGGUUCAGAGGUUCAGUCCAUUAUUGUCAAGGAGGGAGCAUGGCAGCAUCCAGGUGGGCAUUGUGCAGGCUGAGCUGAGAGUUCUACAUUGUCAUUGGAAGGCUGCUAGCAGAAUACUUGUUUCCAGACAGCUAGGAUGAGGGUCUUAUAACCCACACCCACAGUGACACACCUACUCCAACAGGGCCACACCUUCUAAUAGUGCCACUCCCUGGGCCGAGCAUCUACAAAUCAUCACAGGAUGUAUCUGUCACCUCAGACAUUUUUUUUUUUUUGCUCUGAGAAUUCCAGUAGCUAUUUUGAAAUAGUCAGUUAUUGUCAGCCAUACAUAGUCAGUCUACUCUGAACAUCAGAAAUCGCUGCUGUCUAUCCAUCGGCAUUCAUUAGCCAUCCUCCGUCUGGCUUCUCAAUUUUCUGCUACUAUUAAUAGUGCCUGCUUCUGUGAGUCCAACUGUUUAUCCUCCACAUACAAGAGAGACUUUGCCAUACUGCCUUCUGGCUUAUUUUACUCAGUGUUACACCUCCCAUUGUAUACUUUCAUGACUAAAUAAUAUGCCCCUGGAAAGAUAUGCCACGCCUCUUCAUCGACCACGCCUCCUCAUCGACUGCUGCCGGCCACCAUGUCUUGGUAUCGUGAACUGUGCUGCAGUGAACAUGCAGGUGCCUCCGGAUUCCCAGCCCACUGGAUGUGUGUAGCCAGCAGGCAUUGCUGGAUCAUAAAGAAAUUCAUUUUUGCCAGGCAUGAUGGUUGGUGCAACACCUUUAAUCCCAACACUUGGGAGGCAGAGGCAGGCACAAGCAUCUCUGAGUUUGAGGUCAUCCUGGUUUAUAUAGUGAGUUUCAGGCUAGCUAGGGCUACAAAGUGCGACUCUGUCUC
rnacentral:lncRNA from 1 species